CCUACGGGAGGCAGCAGUGGGGAAUAUUGGGCAAUGGACGAAAGUCUGAACCAGCAACGCCGCGUGAAGGAAGACGGCUUUCGGGUUGUAAACUUCUUUUAGGGGGGAAGCGAAGAAGUCGGUAUCCCUUGAAUAAGCCACGGCUAACAACGUGACAGCAGCCGCGGUAAUACGUAGGUGGCAAGCGAUGUCCGGAUUUACUGGGGGUAUAGGGCGUGAAGCGGGGAAGACAAGGCAGAUGGGAAAUCCCGAGGCUUAAACGCGGUACUGCGGUUGAAACUGUUUUUCUUGAGUAGCGGAGAAGUAAUCGGAAUGCCUGGUGUAGCGGUGAAAUGCGUAGAUAUUAGGCAGAACUCCAGUGGCGAAGGCGGAUUACUGGACGACAACUGACGGUGAGGCGCGAAAGCGUGGGUAGCGAACAGGAUUAGAUACCCUAGUAGUC
rnacentral:rRNA from 1 species